CCCAUAGCUCCUUCGACGGCGCCGCCUAGGAACGCGGAGAAAAUAUGACAAAGGAACGGCCAAAAAUAAAAAGAAAGACCUUUCUUUUGAAAAAACAAACAAAAAAAAGAAAUGCAACACGAGGACUUCCCAGGAGGUCACCCAUCCUAGUACUACUCUCGCCCAAGCACGCUUAACUUCGGAGUUCUGAUGGGAUCCGGUGCUUUAGUGCUGGUAUGAUCGCAUCCGACAUACCGUGCGUUCUCCUCCCCUUUAUGCCCGCGCCUCCGUGUACGGCCCGCCCAUAGCUCCUUCGACGGCGCCGCCUAGGAACGCGGAGAAAAUAUGACAAAGGAACGGCCAAAAAUAAAAAGAAAGACCUUUCUUUGAAAAAACAAACAAUUCACAGGAAUGCAACACGAGGACUUCCCACGAGGUCACCCAUCCUAGUACUACUCUCGCCCAAGCACGCUUAACUUCGGAGUUCUGAUGGGAUCCGGUGCUUUAGUGCUGGUAUGAUCGCAUCCGACAUACCGUGCGUUCUCCUCCCCUUUAUGCCCGCGCCUCCGUGUACGGCCCGCCCAUAGCUCCUUCGACGGCGCCGCCUAGGAACGCGGAGAAAAUAUGACAAAGGAACGGCCAAAAAUAAAAAGAAAGACCUUUCUUUUGAAAAAACAAACCAAAAAAAAGGAAUGCAACACGAGGACUUCCCAAGAGGUCACCCAUCCUAGUACUACUCUCGCCCAAGCACGCUUAACUUCGGAGUUCUGAUGGGAUCCGGUGCUUUAGUGCUGGUAUGAUCGCAUCCGACAUACCGUGCGUUCUCCUCCCCAUUAUGCCCGCGCCUCCGUGUACGGCCCGCCCAUAGCUCCUUUGACGGCGCCGCUUAGGAACGCGGAGAAAAUAUGACAAAGGAACGGCCAAAAAUAAAAAGAAAGACCUUUCUUUUGAAAAAACAAACAAAUAAAAGGAAUGCAACACGAGGACUUCCCAGGAGGUCACCCAUCCUAGUACUACUCUCGCCCAAGCACGCUUAACUUCGGAGUUCUGAUGGGAUCCGGUGCUUUAGUGCUGGUAUGAUCGCAUCCGACAUACCGUGCGUUCUCCUCCCCUUUAUGCCCGCGCCUCCGUGUACGGCCCGCCCAUAGCUCCUUCGACGGCGCCGCCUAGGAACGCGGAGAAAAUAUGACAAAGGAACGGCCAAAAACAAAAAGAAAGACCUUUCUUUUGAAAAAACAAACAAAAAAAAGGAAUGCAACACGAGGACUUCCCAGGAGGUCACCCAUCCUAGUACUACUCUCGCCCAAGCACGCUUAACUUCGGAGUUCUGAUGGGAUCCGGUGCUUUAGUGCUGGUAUGAUCGCAUCCGACAUACCGUGCGUUCUCCUCCCCUUUAUGCCCGCGCCUCCGUGUACGGCCCGCCCAUAGCUCCUUCGACGGCGCCGCCUAGGAACGCGGAGAAAAUAUGACAAAGGAACGGCCAAAAAUAAAAAGAAAGACCUUUCUUUUGAAAAAACAAACAAAUAAAAGGAAUGCAACACGAGGACUUCCCAGGAGGUCACCCAUCCUAGUACUACUCUCGCCCAAGCACGCUUAACUUCGGAGUUCUGAUGGGAUCCGGUGCUUUAGUGCUGGUAUGAUCGCAUCCGACAUACCGUGCGUUCUCCUCCCCUUUAUGCCCGCGCCUCCGUGUACGGCCCGCCCAUAGCUCCUUCGACGGCGCCGCCUAGGAACGCGGAGAAAAUAUGACAAAGGAACGGCCAAAAAUAAAAAGAAAGACCUUUCUUUUGAAAAAACAAACAAAUAAAAGGAAUGCAACACGAGGACUUCCCAGGAGAUCACCCAUCCUAGUACUACUCUCGCCCAAGCACGCUUAACUUCGGAGUUCUGAUGGGAUCCGGUGCUUUAGUGCUGGUAUGAUCGCAUCCGACAUACCGUGCGUUCUCCUCCCCUUUAUGCCCGCGCCUCCGUGUACGGCCCGCCCAUAGCUCCUUCGACGGCGCCGCCUAGGAACGCGGAGAAAAUAUGACAAAGGAACGGCCAAAAAUAAAAAGAAAGACCUUUCUUUUGAAAAAACAAACAAAAAAAAGGAAUGCAACACGAGGACUUCCCACGAGGUCACCCAUCCUAGUACUACUCUAGUACCAAGCACGCUUAACUUCGGAGUUCUGAUGGGAUCCGGUGCUUUAGUGCUGGUAUGAUCGCAUCCGACAUACCGUGCGUUCUCCUCCCCUUUAUGCCCGCGCCUCCGUGUACGGCCCGCCCAU
rnacentral:lncRNA from 1 species